UGGAUUUAGAAAAGUGUGGUAGUGCCUUGUUAAGCCCAACCCACCGAGUGACUCACCAAUGCAUGAGGCAUCAGCUACAGCCUACAGUUACCUCAACAAUCUGUCUCUACCGGAUUUAAUCAGCAAAACUCAAUUUGAAUCCCCAAUAGUCAAUAGAUGCAGAUAAGGAAAUGAAGAUAUUCGGAAAAUAUGUAUAUCCAAGGCAGCUAAUUCUUAUGGGUUGUGGGGUUUUGUUCUUGGCUUCGACAACAUAUGAUAUUCAUAGAUCCAUCAAGAACAAUCAGAUUCCUCCUUCACAGGAACAAAUUCAAGCUCUUGAAGAUUAUGUCAAUUCCAAACGACGCCCAUCUGCUUGAUCAUCAACCCUAUUGUUCUUUUACAAGAUUCGGUGUUGUACUUGCAAUUCAAUAUUCAUGAUCGAGUAUAUUACAUAUAAUUUUUAUCUUUAA